rnacentral:tRNA from 1 species
CAGAAAGUAGUAAAAUUUAUUAUUAGGAGUUUGGAGCUCCUAGAUCUACUUUUCUAAGUAGCC